rnacentral:rRNA from 1 species
GUGGGGAAUAUUGGACAAUGGGCGAAAGCCUGAUCCAGCCAUGCCGCGUGUGUGAAGAAGGUCUUCGGAUUGUAAAGCACUUUAAGUUGGGAGGAAGGGCAGUAAGUUAAUACCUUGCUGUUUUGACGUUACCGACAGAAUAAGCACCGGCUAACUUCGUGCCAGCAGCCGCGGUAAUACGAAGGGUGCAAGCGUUAAUCGGAAUUACUGGGCAUAAAGCGCGCGUAGGUGGUUCAGUAAGUUGGAAGUGAAAUCCCCGGGCUCAACCUGGGAACUGCUUUCAAAACUGCUGAGCUAGAGUACGGUAGAGGGUGGUGGAAUUUCCUGUGUAGCGGUGAAAUGCGUAGAUAUAGGAAGGAACACCAGUGGCGAAGGCGACCACCUGGACUGAUACUGACACUGAGGUGCGAAAGCGUGGGGAGCAAACAGGAUUAGAAACCCCGGUAGUCC